rnacentral:misc_RNA from 1 species
GAUGAAGAACGUAGCGAAAUGCGAUACUUGGUGUGAAUUGCAGAAUCCCGUGAACCAUCGAGUCUUUGAACGCAAGUUGCGCCCGAAGCCAUUAGGCCGAGGGCACGCCUGCCUGGGUGUCACACGUCGUUGCCCCCCCAUCUACUCCUUCGGGAUUGCGGGGGGCGGAUGAUGGCCUCCCGUGCGCCUCGUCGCGCGGUUGGCAUAAAUGCCAAGUCCUCGGCGACGCACGCCACGACAAUCGGUGGUUGCGAAACCUCGGUUGCCCGUCGUGUGCGGUCGUCGCGCAUCGAGGGCUCGAAAAAAUUGCCGGGCUCCGGCUCGGCUUUCAACGAGACCCCAGGUCAGGCGGGGUUACCCGCUGAAUUUAAGCAUAUCAAUAAGCGGAGGA